rnacentral:rRNA from 1 species
GAGGAAUUGGCGGGGGAGCACCGCAACGGGAGGAGCGUGCGGUUUAAUUGGAUUCAACACCGGAAAACUCACCAAGGGAGACCAUCACAUGAAAGCCAGGCUAAUGACUUUGCUUGAUUCUUGGAGAGGUGGUGCAUGGCCGUCGUCAGUUCGUACCGUAAGGCGUUCUCUUAAGUGAGAUAACGAACGAGACCCUCAUCUAUAAUUGCUACUUCAUUCUCCGGAAUGGAGGCACAUUAUCGAGACCGCUGGCGCUAAGUCAGAGGAAGGAGAGGUCAACGGUAGGUCAGUAUGCCCCGAAUCUCUUGGGCUACACGCGCGCUACAAAGGGCGGGACAAUGGGCUACGACGCCGAAAGGCGAAGUCAAUCUCGAAACCCGUCCGUAGUUCGGAUUGAGGCUUGUAACUCAGCCUCAUGAAGCUGGAUUCCGUAGUAAUCGCGAAUCAAAAACUCGCGGUGAAUAUGCCCCUGCUCCUUGCACACACCGC